GAAGGGGACCACUUUCCACCGAUCUUAUUCGGCGGAGGGUGAGUAAUGCUUAUGAGUCUGCCGAUUAGUGGGGGACAACAUUUCCAAAGGAAUGCUAAUACCGCAUACGUCCUACGGGAGAAAGCAGGGGAUCUUCGGACCUUGCGCUAAUAGAUGAGCCUAAGUCGGAUUACCUAGUUGGUGGGGUAAAGGCCUACCAAGGCGACGAUCUGUAGCGGGUCUGAGAGGAUGAUCCGCCACACUGGGACUGAGACACGGCCCAGACUCCUACGGGAGGCACCAGUGGGGAAUAUUGGACAAUGGGCGCAAGCCUGAUCCAACCAUGCCGCGUGUGUGAAGAAGGCCUUAUGGUUGUAAAGCACGUAAAGCGAGGAGGAGGCUAUACCUUCUAAGGUUUAAUACCGUACGAGAUACUGGAACGUUACUCCCAGAAUAAAGCACCGGCUUAACUCUGUGCCAGCAGCCCGCGGUUAAUACAGAGGGUGCAAGCGUUAAUCGGAUUUACUGGGCGUAAAGCGCGCGUAGGCGGCUAAUUUAAGUCAAAUGUGAAAUCCCCGAGCUUAACUUGGGAAUUGCAUUCGAUACUGGUUAGACUAGAGUGUGGGAGAGGAUGGUAGAAUUCCAGGUGUAACGGUGAAAUGCGUAGAGAUCUGGAGGAAUACCGAUGGCGAAGGCAGCCAUCUGGCCUAACACUGACGCUGAGGUGCGAAAGCAUGGGGAGCAAACAGGAUUAGAUACCCUGGUAGUCCAUGCCGUAAACGAUGUAUACUAACCGUUGGGGCCUUUGAGGCUUUAGUGGCGCACCUAACGCGAUAAGUAGACCGCCUGGGGAGUACGCUCGCAAGACUAAAACUCAAAUGAAAUAGACGGAGGCCAGCACAAGCGGUGCGAGCCAUGUGCGUUGAAUCCAGAUGCUAACGCGACAGAACCUUAACCCUGGAACCAAUUCGACACAGUAUGACACUGUGAGUCACAGACGCAUGGAUUGGUGCCUUUGGGAACUUACAUACAGGUGUUGCAUGGCUGUCGUCAGCUCGUGUCUUGAGAUGUUGGGUUAAGUCCCGCAACGAGCGCAACCCUUUUCCUUAUUUGCCAGCGAGUAAUGUCGGGAACUUUAAGGAUACUGCCAGUGACAAACUGGAGGAAGGCGGGGACGACGUCAAGUCAUCAUGGCCCUUACGGCCAGGGCUACACACGUGCUACAAUGGUCGGUACAAAGGGUUGCUACCUAGCGAUAGGAUGCUAAUCUCAAAAAGCCGAUCGUAGUCCGGAUUGGAGUCUGCAACUCGACUCCAUGAAGUCGGAAUCGCUAGUAAUCGCGAUCAGAAUGCCGCCAUACCC
rnacentral:rRNA from 1 species